rnacentral:rRNA from 1 species
UACGAAGGGGGCUAGCGUUGCUCGGAAUCACUGGGCGUAAAGGGUGCGUAGGCGGGUCUUUAAGUCAGGGGUGAAAUCCUGGAGCUCAACUCCAGAACUGCCUUUGAUACUGAGGAUCUUGAGUUCGGGAGAGGUGAGUGGAACUGCGAGUGUAGAGGUGAAAUUCGUAGAUAUUCGGAAGAACACCAGUGGCGAAGGCGGCUCACUGGCCCGGUACUGACGCUGAUAUACGAAAGCGUGGGAGCAACAGG